rnacentral:rRNA from 1 species
AAGGUUGACCUCGGAUCAGGUAGGAAUACCCGCUGAACUUAAGCAUAUCAAUAAGCGGAGGAAAAGAAACCAACAGGGAUUGCCCUAGUAACGGCGAGUGAAGCGGCAACAGCUCAAAUUUGAAAUCUGGCUACAUUUCGUGGUCCGAGUUGUAAUUUGUAGAGGAUGCUUUUGGUGAGGUGCCUUCCGAGUUCCCUGGAACGGGACGCCAUAGAGGGUGAGAGCCCCGUACGGUUGGACACCAAACCUCUGUAUAGCUCCUUCAACG